rnacentral:lncRNA from 1 species
AUGAACGAGCACACGGUCGGAUUUAAACGCGUUUGCUCUCGGUACAGACACAGAACCGGAACUUCCUCCGGCUGUUCUCCACGAUGUCAGAGUGUAUCACAUGAAGCCGGUCAGUGGGGUGUGUGGAGAGGCUCGGACCGUUUCAAACGACCCCUGACCUUUACUGACCGGCCCUGGAUGCUGGAAGCAUGGAUGUCCACGUGCACAGCGGCCGGACGCUCCACUGCUGUCCAGUGAGUAUUCACCAGCACCUGCAUCAUGAUGACCACAGCGGAGCCAAACCCUGCCUUCUUUAUGAUUGAAAACAUUACAAGCCACACAUUCACCAGCACUGAGUCACGCCGGAGUCUGUUUAAAGCGUGACGGGUGUGGUGUGUGUUCAGAGGAACGCCAGUCUGUAAGUAAAGACGAGAAUGCAGUCGAGCAGCAUCCACACAAAACCAGCAGGUUCUGAGUGACACGCGAUGAUAUCACUAUUAUUACAGCUCACACUUAGUGAUUAGUGAUUAGAACAAACCCUGAAGUGUCUGUCUGUCAUGAGGGAUGCCUGCUGCUUUAAGAGAUCAGACACAAUGAGGUCCGAUUUAUUGGUGAAGGUGAAAACACUGAACGAGAACCUGAGCCGUGUUUAGAGAGCAGACGAUCACCAAAAACCUGAUUUAUGCAAGACAGAAAGAAACCACCUAGCAACCAUCUUAGCAACCACAUUGCAAUCAAGGUCAUUAUAGUAAAAAAAAAAAAAAAAAAAAAAAACAAUAAUAACAAAAUACAUUUAAAAUAAUUUUUUAAUAACUAAAAUAAAAUUUUAGGCAUUAAUAAAAAUAAAAAAAUAUAAAAAGUGUCUGUACACUAAUAAAAAUUACUACAACUUUAAAAUAAUAUUUAUAAAUUAUACUUUUAGAUCAUAUUUUUAUAAUAAUAACGAAAAUACAUUUUAAAUAAUAUUUUAAUAACUAAAAUAAAAUUUUAAGGUCAUUAAUAAAAAUAAAUAAAAAAAUAAAGCGUGACGGGUAGUGGUGUGUGUUUCAGAGGAACGCCAGUCUGUAGUAAAGACGAGAAUGCAGUCGAGCAGCAUCCACACAAAACCAGCAGGUUCUGAGUGACACGCGAUGAUAUCACUAUUAUUACAGCUCACACUUAGUGAUUAGUGAUUAGAACAAACCCUGAAGUGUCUGUCUGUCAUGAGGGAUGCCUGCUGCUUUAAGAGAUCAGACACAAUGAGGUCCGAUUUAUUGGUGAAGGUGAAAACACUGAACGAGAACCUGAGCCGUGUUUAGAGAGCAGACGAUCACCAAAAACCUGAUUUAUGCAAGACAGAAAGAAACCACCUAGCAACCAUCUUAGCAACCACAUUGCAAUCAAGGUCAUUAUAGUAAAAAAAAAAAAAAAAAAAAAAACAAUAAUAACAAAUAACAUUAAAUAAUUUUAAUAACUAAAUAAAUUUAGUACAUAAUAAAAUAAAAAAUAAUAAAAGUAGUACUGUACACUAAUAAAAUUAACUACAACUUAAAUAAUAUUAUAUAGUAAUAAAAAAAAAAAAAAAAAAAAAAAAAAAAAAACAAAUAAUAACAAAAUACAUUUAAAAUAAUUUUUUAAUAACUAAAAUAAAAUUUUAGGCAUUAAUAAAAAUAAAAAAAAUAUAAAAAGUGUCUGUACACUAAUAAAAAUUACUACAACUUUAAAAUAAUAUUUAUAAAUUAUACUUUUAGAUCAUAUUUUUAUAAUAAUAACAAAAUACAUUUUAAAUAAUAUUUUAAUAACUAAAAUAAAAUUUUAGGCAAUAAAAAUUACAAAAAUGUCACUACACUAAUAAAAAUUACUAAAACUUUAAAUAGUAAAUUUUAAAGUUUAAUAUACUUUUAGAUAAUAUUUUUUAUAAUAACAAUAAUAAUAACAACAAAAUAAACUUUAAAGAAUAUUUUAAUAACUAAAACAAAAUAAUUAAGGCAUUAAUAAAAAUAAAUAAAAAUGAGAUAAAAAGUCACUACACCAUUAAAAAUUAUUAAAACUUUAAAAUUAAAAUGUCAAAAAAGUCAAAAUAUUAAUAAAACCUAUAAUAGUAUCUCAGUAAAACAGUUCUCUUUAGAAAACAUAAGUCUGCAUUAUUUUAAUAUCUUACACAAUUAAGAUUUGUCAACUUAAAAAGAUCAAACAAUCCACUGAAAAACAUACAUUUUAGAUACAAAUUCUUGACUUUUUUAAUCAUGCAGAAUGAGCUCUUCCUUGUUUCUUGAAUUAAGAUGUUUAAUAAUAAUUCACUUUUCAGUUAAUUUUGUAAUCAGUGUACAGAAACAGUAUUUCCACUCUUGGCAGACUUUUAGCACAUAUAGUAGGUCAUCAGGGAAUUAAAUGCAUUAAAAUUGCAUACUGUGCACAGCUAUACAUAUAAACUAGUAGAAUGCAUACCAUCUUCAUUAUUUUGACAUACUGUAUUUAUAUGACUCAAAGCGUUCUGAUGAGUUGAUGCUUUUUCUCACAAAGGUGAUGCAGUGGCUUACAGAGAGCCGUUCAGGGUGAAGGGUGUGUUCGUGGGGCGGAUGAACAAGCACACACACACACACACACACACACACACACACCUGUGCAAGCAGCAUGAGUAGAGUCUCUGGAGGUCACGAAGCACAUGCAUUGUUUAAAUCAACAGGUUUAUGAUUUGGGAAACAAAUUCAGUCGUGCAGUGCAUAAUGCAUCAUGUCAUAAACACACUAGAGACUCCCGCACACUUUUAUCAGUCUGAACGCAUAUUAGAUUUUACAGUAAGGUUUCAUUUGUCACCAUUAGUUUAUUAUAUCAGUUAACACGUCAAUACUUGUAUAGCAUUCAUAGCAAUUUGAACGUUCACUAAUACUUUAUUAAAAUCAAGUUGCAUCUGUUAAUGCACUAACAUGAACGUUUUUAUUAACUUACAUUAACAACGAUUAAUAAAUGCUGUAAAAAAUAAAAUAGUUCAUGGUUCGUUCAUGUUUGGUCAUGCAUGAUAAUAACAACGAGACCUUAUUGUAAAGCGUUACUGAUUAUCAGUUAAUAUUUAAUUCAUUUUAAAUGAUAGCCUUUAAAUCAAGAGGUUUAUGAUUAGAAACAAAUUCAGUAAUUUAAUAACAUAUCUGCUAUAUUUACAUGUAAUUUAAAAAAAAUCAUUUUAGCUAAACAUUUUAGUAAGUGUUCCGUUUUGAUUGUUUUUCAUUUUACAGUAGGACCAUAUGACAUUAUGAUUUGUUUUUGAUUUAAAAACCAUGUAUUUAUUUUAGGUCUGUAUUAUGAUUUAACUGUAUAUAUAUUUGUAUCAACUCUUGAACAGUUUGGGAAACCCAAAAUUAAAUGAUCAAUGUGUAAAUCCAACUCACGCUGAAAAAUUCACAAGAUAUUGCAAAUCUUCUUGAUGCAAGAUUUAAAAAAAAAAAGAAAGAAAAUUGCAAAACAUUGAUUUUUGCAGUUAAAAUUGUGAUUUGCAAGUUUUUAAAACAAAUCAACAAAAUAUUACUAUUAGUAUUGUAAUAAUAAUAAUAAUAAUAAUAUAAUACCUAAUAACAGUAAUAUUUUAAUAAGUAAUAUUAAUUUUACUAUUGUAAUAACACUUUCAUUAUAAAAAAAAAAUAAAAUCAAAAACUGAAUUAACACAAUAAUUAGAAAAAAACAACCAUUUUUAACUAUUUUACAGAAAACUUAUUUUAUGAAAAACUGCAGGGUUACCUAUAACUAUAACAUCAGUAGAAAGAUCUAAAGUUUUAAUGUAAAAUAUUAUACUAUGAUAAAAAUACAAACAAAAAAAAACUGACAGUAAUUUCUUAAUUUUUGUCAGGAGGUAUGCAAAACCAGAAAUGUCCAUGCCUUUAAUAUAAAAGAUGUGAGCCUCAUGUACAUGUAAUCAUGUUUACUUCACUUUUCUUUAGAGAGAAGUAUUAAUUAUCCUAUUUUUACUAUGAAGAGCAUAGUAUUCUUCAAGCCAUCUCGUGUAUCAUUAUAAGAAUAAAGUCUAUAUAUAAUGCAAUACUUGACGUCUGGCGCAUGUUUGCACGUCAUAAGCGACUCAAACUCUCCGAUGAACAGCAUCUACUGCAUAUAUUUAAUAAAAAAAAAUCGCCCCCAAAAAAACAAAUCACAGUGUUUGUGACCCCAUCACAAGUCAAAUUGUGAUUUUGGUUUAAUUUCGAUUAGUUGUGCAGCUGUAACGGUUUCUGUUAACUUAAGAAAUAUUAUUAUCAGUGUUGAAAACUACGUGGGCUGUAGUUUGCAUAUUUUGAGUUUAUUUAUUAUUAUCAUAUUGUUGCUCUUUGUUGGUUUGAUUGCUUAUACUGUCCUAAUGUAAUAAGUCACUUUAGAUAAAAGUGUCUGCUAAAGUAAGAUUGAAAAAUAAAUUAUAGCUAAAUAGCUAAAUAAUUAAAGCUAUUGACACUUUUAAAUGAAAUUUCUUUAGAUGUCAGAUUGAGUGUUGUCAUUACAUAUUUCUACAUUAACCCAACUUUAAAUGUGUUUGCUUCGUCAGAUUUCCAAGAGAUGAUUAUACCCCCGGAGACUCCUUUUGAAGUGAAGCCGAACCGUGACCUGGACGUCUCAGACGGGCCGCACGAGGACUUUAGACACCUGCCACCCGCAGGUUCAGUUCCCAGUCCAGUAGUAAUCACCAGCAAGAUCGCCGAGCACCAGGGCGCAUUCCCCACUCGAUCGCCGCCGAAGCCGUCAGCGUCAGGAGCGCCGGGCGCAGACGCUCGCUAACCUCUCCGGCCCGGCGCACCCUUUAGAUGGUGGAGAACCGGCCUGCGUGCGCAACCUUCCCACGCGGAGCAUUUCGUUUCAAAAUC